rnacentral:lncRNA from 1 species
CCGCCGGGGCCGGCCAGCUCCGUCGCGGCGUCGGCGGAUCUCGUUUCGACGAGGCGAGGCAACUGGAUGGGAUUCUUGAUUCAUCUGAGGCCAUACCGAGUGAUGCUUCCACCUAAUCUCGCCGAUAUGAUAUGUCAAAAAUGUCGUUGGAAUGGUAGGUAGGUUCAUGUAUUGAAGUUCUAUAUUGAUGUACUUUCUCUAUUACCUGUCAGUGUUCCGUUUAUUACUUCUGAAUCAGUUCAUGUUGUCUGUGUAUUGGGCAUGGGUCAUCCCUAAAUUAAGGACAAGGUUCUAUAAAUCUGCUGCUAUAAUUUGGUGCUUUAAGAUUUUAGCAUUGCCCCAAAUUCUUUUUACAACUUUUGGAAGCUAAUUUCUUCAAAAUUAAUCUCUGCUCUGAAUAUUAAUUCCAGCUGAAUAUGGAUGUUUUUUGAUGGCCCACUUCAUGUAUGCCUUAAAUAAAAAUAUCCGCAAAGGGGAAGACAACAGAGAUGGAAGAUACACAACCAUGCCUGCAUUUCUUUAUGCGUAACCACUACCAUCUCUUGCAUUUCAUCUGCAUGGUAGUCUUCGACCCUUAUUUUGAGGCUUUGGUUUGUUGAAUUAUCAUUAGUAGCAUAUCGAGAUAUGUAUACUGGUAGAGUUUGUGCUAACACUGCCAAAUUGCACUUUGAGAAAACCACAGUGCUUCCUUGAUGUUUGAACAAUUAACUCUGCUUUUCCCCUGCCAUCUUAUAAUUAGCAAAGCACAUAGUCGCUUUUCAAGUACAGACCUCAACUCCACAUAGUUUUAUGCAGCCCAUACUGAUUUUAAUAUGCUUCUCGGUCUUGCAGGUUCUUUUAUGCAUUGAGUGCAUCAACUUGAAUCCAAUUUGAGCUUGAAGGAAGCUGAUACUUGGCCUGCCAAGGUAUGUCCGUAAAAAUACUACUCCUAUGUCAUAUUUCUAUGUGUUAAUUAGAUAAAUGCCACUCCGAUUAUGGCGAUUCAUAAAAAUGCCACUGCAAUUUCCAAACUUUGAAAAAUGCCACUGCAACUAUUUUAUUACUCCAAAGGGUAAAAACACCCAAACUUCAAUUCCUCCAAUGUACUCCAAAAUUCAGCCUCAAGAUGCCUGUGACCUGAGAAGGCCACAACUGAGUUGUGCAAGCACUCCACUACACCAAAGGACUUUGUCAUUCACUGCCGUGUUGGCUGUUUCUACAGUGUCGAUGGACACAAUGAGCCUGGAAAGGUAAAUCUACAGAAUGGCUCAGACUUCCACCAACCAUCUGCAUGCAGAGAUGCAGAAACAGUGUGGUCUGCGUGGAGACCAUUGUUGUGCUGCAGUAGGUUAAAGCGUUAAAUAUUUAAGUGUUGCCAAGGUCUAGAUGGAUAAGUGUUCUGAAUAGUUUGUUGUAUGGCAUACAUUGAUAAUACAAAAGCUGGCUUGAAGCUGGUGAAACUGCUACUCAAUGAGGCGUUUUGUGUUGGAGGCGAUGGGUAUUAUGCCUUCCAAGGAUGCUGUGUUGGCUGAGUAUUUGUUUUCUACUGCUGGGUGUCUUGUUUACCAAUUGGGGAGCUCCCAUGAGGUGUUCCUUUUAUACAAGAUAUAGAAUGACUGAGCACCAAAACAAAGUUUUUUGUAUCUUCUCUUGCCACUUUCUAGUUCCUGAAUUUUACUGCCUUUAAUUUCUUGCAUCACUAUUGUUUCUCUACAUUUAGCUUAGCAUCUCAAGUAUUGCAUUUCUUUGAAGUGUUUUAUCCUUUAAAUAAUUGAACACUUUAAAAUGUUUUAUACCGAGAAUAGCACGGUGGUAAGACCUCCACGAGUAGGACUAAGGGCUUGAACCUUGGUUCUCACAAAAGAAGGCCGCUUGCUGAGUUUGUUCCAUGUGCGUAUUAGGUGGAGCCAUUGCUCUUGACGCAAAAAGCAAUGCAUCCAGGUUUCUUCCCCCAAAAUUUUGUUUAGUGUUUUAUACUACGAACAUUGGAUCAAGCCAUUUUAGAACAAAUAAAUAUGUAAUACUCACUGCAAGCUUGUGUAUGUGAUAUAUUCUGGAUGUGAAUAUUGUGAUGUAAAUGAUUGGCCUAGGCUCAAUAUUUUCUGCUGAAGGUAGAUCGCAAAGUUCCAUUCAGAUGGAAAUUUUGGUACUCUGGGCUUCUGGCAAUGGGUAGCCUGGGCUUUUGUUUUAUCAUCUAGCCAUUCUUUUUCCAAAAACUUAAAAUCAACCCUUUUAGCACUGCACUCAUUUGACGCAUCAUUAUUGCAUCCCCAAAAUUGUAUCCUUUUGAGAACCAUCGAAAUCAUAUACUUGGCUAUGCAUGACGGCAAAUGGCAACAAUAUCGUAUAAUUAUCCAAGAAAUAUAAAAAGUAAUACAGUGAAUAACAAGAUAUAAAGAAAAUUGCUCUGAACUUGUUUUACACUUGGGGGUGGGGGUUGCUUUGUUCUUAUGCUGUUUCUUCACAAGCUUGUUCAGCGCUUUUCUGUGUCUUGAUAUACUCUGUGAUUGCCUCAGCCAGGCAAGCUAGUGCACUGGUACUGACAAAGGAUGUGUUGCCUGUCUUCUCGUCAUCAACUUCAUAUUCGAUGGUUGACCUUAUUGUAGAUGUUUUAUCGGUUUGCCCUAUAAUCUCAAUUCUCAUCAAAUAUUUCUGAAAUCCAUAAUCUAGAAGGCCUCCUUCUACUAUUAUGGCCUCCUUGACAUAGUUUUCAUGGUCAAUCUUGAUGAACUUUUCCUUUUGAUAUUCUAAUGGAGCAACCCCUAGCAACACGGACCACGGAAAUUGAAAUUACUGAAGCUGAUGCAUAUAUUACGAAGCCAAAAAAAAGGCAUAACUGAAGUGCAUGUGUUCAGGUUCUAACCAUGAGAAAAGGUGAGAUGCAAAACUGUCCCAACACCGCCAUCUCCUUCAACAAGCUCGGCCUUUUUGAAGAUAUCGGGAAGCAAUUG